UGGGGAAUAUUGCACAAUGGGCGCAAGCCUGAUGCAGCCAUGCCGCGUGUGUGAAGAAGGCCUUCGGGUUGUAAAGCACUUUCAGCGAGGAGGAAGGUGGUGAGCUUAAUACGCUCAUCAAUUGACGUUACUCGCAGAAGAAGCACCGGCUAACUCCGUGCCAGCAGCCGCGGUAAUACGGAGGGUGCAAGCGUUAAUCGGAAUUACUGGGCGUAAAGCGCACGCAGGCGGUUUGUUAAGUCAGNUGUGAAAUCCCCGGGCUCAACCUGGGAACUGCAUUUGAAACUGGCAAGCUAGAGUCUCGUAGAGGGGGGUAGAAUUCCAGGUGUAGCGGUGAAAUGCGUAGAGAUCUGGAGGAAUACCGGUGGCGAAGGCGGCCCCCUGGACGAAGACUGACGCUCAGGUGCGAAAGCGUGGGGCAGCAAACAGGAUUAGAUACCCUGGU
rnacentral:rRNA from 1 species